rnacentral:rRNA from 1 species
GGGGGAUAUUGCGCAAUGGGGGCAACCCUGACGCAGCAACGCCGCGUGAAGGAUGAAGGUUUUCGGAUUGUAAACUUCUUUUAUUAAGGACGAAAAUUGACGGUACUUAAUGAAUAAGCUCCGGCUAACUACGUGCCAGCAGCCGCGGUAAUACGUAGGGAGCAAGCGUUGUCCGGAAUUACUGGGUGUAAAGGGAGCGCAGGCGGGAAGACAAGUUGGAAGUGAAAUCCAUGGGCUCAACCCAUGAACUGCUUUCAAAACUGUUUUUCUUGAGUAGUGCAGAGGUAGGCGGAAUUCCCGGUGUAGCGGUGGAAUGCGUAGAUAUCGGGAGGAACACCAGUGGCGAAGGCGACCUACUGGGCACCAACUGACGCUGAGGCUCGAAAGCAUGGGUAGCAAACAGGAUUAGAUACCCUGGUAGUCCAUGCCGUAAACGAUGAUUACUAGGUGUUGGAGGAUUGACCCCUUCAGUGCCGCAGUUAACACAAUAAGUAAUCCACUUGGGGAGUACGACCGCAAGGUUGAAACUCAAAGGAAUUGACGGGGGCCCGCACAAGCAGUGGAGUAUGUGGUUUAAUUCGAAGCAACGCGAAGAACCUUACCAGGUCUUGACAUCCGAUGCAUAGUGCAGAGAUGCAUGAAGUCCUUCGGGACAUCGAGACAGGUGGUGCAUGGUUGUCGUCAGCUCGUGUCGUGAGAUGUUGGGUUAAGUCCCGCAACGAGCGCAACCCUUAUUGCCAGUUACUACGCAAGAGGACUCUGGCGAGACUGCCGUUGACAAAACGGAGGAAGGUGGGGAUGACGUCAAAUCAUCAUGCCCUUUAUGACCUGGGCUACACACGUACUACAAUGGCGUUUAACAAAGAGAAGCAAGACCGCGAGGUGGAGCAAAACUCAAAAACAACGUCUCAGUUCAGAUUGCAGGCUGCAACUCGCCUGCAUGAAGUCGGAAUUGCUAGUAAUCGCGGAUCAGCAUGCCGCGGUGAAUACGUUCCCG